AACGAACGCUGGCGGCAUGCCUAACACAUGCAAGUCGAACGAGACCUUCGUGUCUAGUGGCGCACGGGUGCGUAACGCGUGGGAACCUGCCCUUAGGUUCGGAAUAACUCCCCUAAAGGGGUGCUAAUACCGGAUAAUUUCUUCGGACCAAAGAUUUAUCGCCUUUGGAUGGGCCCGCGUUGGAUUAGCUAGUUGGUAGGGUAAAAGCCUACCAAGGCGACGAUCCAUAGCUGGUCUGAGAGGAUGAUCAGCCACACUGGGACUGAGACACGGCCCAGAAUCCUACGGGAGGCAGCAGUGGGGAAUAUUGGAACAUGGGCGAAAGCCUGAUACAGCAAUGCCGGGUGAGUGAUGAAGGCCUUAGGGUUGUAAAGCUCUUUUACCCGGGAUGAUAAUGACAGUACCGGGAGAAUAAGCACCGGCUAACUCCGUG
rnacentral:rRNA from 1 species